AGUGAACGCUGGCGGUAGGCCUAACACAUGCAAGUCGAACGGCAGCACAGUAAGAGCUUGCUCUUACGGGUGGCGAGUGGCGGACGGGUGAGGAAUACAUCGGAAUCUACUUUUUCGUGGGGGGUAACGUAGGGAAACUUACGCUAAUACCGCAUACGACCUACGGGUGAAAGCAGGGGAUCUUCGGACCUUGCGCGAUUGAAUGAGCCGAUGUCGGAUUAGCUAGUUGGCGGGGUAAAGGCCCACCCAGGCGACGAUCCGUAGCUGGUCUGAGAGGAUGAUCAGCCACACUGGAACUGAGACACGGUCCAGACUCCUACGGGAGGCAGCAGUGGGGAAUAUUGGACAAUGGGCGCAAGCCUGAUCCAGCCAUACCGCGUGGGUGAAGAAGGCCUUCGGGUUGUAAAGCCCUUUUGUUGGGAAAGAAAAGCAGCAGGUUAAUACCCCGCUGUUCUGACGGUACCAAAAGAAUAAGCACCGGCUAGCUUCGUG
rnacentral:rRNA from 1 species